rnacentral:rRNA from 1 species
UGAGUAACGCGUAGGAAUCUACCGAGUAGUGGGGGACAACAGUUGGAAACGACUGCUAAUACCGCAUAAUCCCUGAGGGGGAAAGGAGGGGAUCUGUUUACAGACCUUUCGCUAUUUGAUGAGCCUGCGUGAGAUUAGCUAGUUGGUGAGGUAAUGGCUCACCAAGGCGACGAUCUCUAGCUGGUCUGAGAGGAUGAUCAGCCACACUGGAACUGAGACACGGUCCAGACUCCUACGGGAGGCAGCAGUGGGGAAUAUUGCACAAUGGGGGAAACCCUGAUGCAGCCAUGCCGCGUGUGUGAAGAAGGCCUUCGGGUUGUAAAGCACUUUCAGCGAGGAGGAAAGGAGUAUGUUUAAUAAACGUGCUCUGUGACGUUACUCGCAGAAGAAGCACCGG